rnacentral:misc_RNA from 1 species
AAAUUUAAAUUCCUAAUUGUUAUACCUACAUGUCCCUACAAUACAAAGUUGACAUGUAGCCUUUUCUAUAUGGGCAAUUUAAAUGAAGAAGACAUUAAUACAAAGCAGACACGUGAGGCGGUUAACGUUGAAAUAAGUAGAGAUGUGCAUCUUGGUUCAGUUAGCUUUCCAGAUAACUGUAGCACCAUCGAUUUCACAAAUUUUGCAACACAUGACAUUAUAGGUCCUGUUAAAAACACUUCAUCGGCUGGUAAUUCUAUCGAACGAAAGAGGCAAAGGGAUAGAGAAAGGCGUGCAACAAUGUCGGUUCAACAAAGGAACGAGUUCAAUAAGAAGCGUCGUGAAGAGCGUCAACGAAAGAAGGGACAAAAUGUGAUGCCCAAUGUGUCAGGAGAUGGAGACAAAAAAAGUAAACGUGGAUCCAGAUGAUGAUAGCGACUGGCUGCAUAGGAAUGAGACAUUCUAGGCAAAUGACAAUGUCACAACGAGAGACCUUCUGACACUAGGUACAUGACUGUUCACUUUACUAAAAAUAGGCACAGCAGAUUUCAAGCGGUUGAACCUAGACAUGCCUUAUUCCAGGCAGUGUGCAUGAAUCUGUUGGUGUCAUUGGGGAACCGGGUAUAGGCGUGAGGGAGUCUAGGCGUGAACGCCUUAGGUUGUAUAAUCAGACACCAAGACGGAAAGAUGCAAAGAUAGAGUACAUGAGAAAACGUAGAGCACUGCAGGCUGACACUUUGAAUCAUGCGUCCAUCGCCAUGGAGGACCCAACAUAUACCCCUGAGGUUGUACACCCUACAGCGGAUGCAACGGAACCUGAUGGAUCCUCAGUUACCGCCUGCG